ACGCACGUGUGAAACUUGAAGGAAUUGACGGAAGGGCACCACAAGAACGCGUGGAGCAUGUGGCUUAAUUUGACUCAACGCGGGAAAUCUUACCGGGUCCGGACACACUGAGGAUUGACAGGCAGUUUUGAUACGUUCUUUCGUUUCUUUAUUGAUUCGAAUGUAACGUAUCUCAUGAAAGAUGCUAGUCCUUUCAUGAUUAUGUGAUAGGUGGUGCCUGGCCGUUCUUAGUUCGUGGAGUGAUCUGUCUGCUUAAUUGCGUUUCAUUAAGAGCCUAUACUUACGUACGUCGCGGGCACUUAGACCCCACUUUCACUUCGGUGUUUGUGCGCGUUUUGUCUUAGUUUUGCUUUAGCGCGUACAUUUAGGCUCUGAAAGCAACGAACGUGACCG
rnacentral:rRNA from 1 species